UGGGGAAUUUUGGACAAUGGGCGAAAGCCUGAUCCAGCAAUGCCGCGUGUGUGAAGAAGGCCUUCGGGUUGUAAAGCACUUUUGUCCGGAAAGAAAUCCUUGGCUCUAAUACAGUCGGGGGAUGACGGUACCGGAAGAAUAAGCACCGGCUAACUACGUGCCAGCAGCCGCGGUAAUACGUAGGGUGCAAGCGUUAAUCGGAAUUACUGGGCGUAAAGCGUGCGCAGGCGGUUUGCUAAGACCGAUGUGAAAUCCCCGGGCUCAACCUGGGAACUGCAUUGGUGACUGGCAGGCUAGAGUAUGGCAGAGGGGGGUAGAAUUCCACGUGUAGCAGUGAAAUGCGUAGAGAUGUGGAGGAAUACCGAUGGCGAAGGCAGCCCCCUGGGCCAAUACUGACGCUCAUGCACGAGAGCNUGGGGGAGCAAACAGGAUUAGAUACCCUGGUAGUCCACGCCCUAAACGAUGUCAACUAGUUUUGGGGAUUCAUUUCCUUAGUAACGUAGCUAACGCGUGAAGUUGACCGCCUGGGGAGUACGGUCGCAAGAUUAAAACUC
rnacentral:rRNA from 1 species